UCCACCCAGCACCGCUUUGCUUCCGCUGCUGCAGCCCAGAUUCUGUGCCUCUCCCUGGGCUUGGCUCCCAUCCAUCUGGGGGAUAUUGGAAGCUGUCAGGCUGUGAAACAACUUCCACAGGAGCCUUCCUUCCUUCACUGGGGGAGACAAUGUUCCUCUUAGUGUGGGAUACAGUCACUUCCGUCACAGUUCAACAACCAACACAUUCUGGAUAUUUGGAGGAAAGGAGACGAGCAGAAGGAUCCAUUUCAUACUAUUGAGAUGAACCUGUGGGUAGAGAGAAAGCACUGUAACAGUUCCCAUGUGCUGUGAAGUAACACUAUUCCCUCUUGAGUGAAGAACCCAUGAAAUGUACCUAUGGAGAACCACGACACAGGAUGUCACCUAAAGUAUUGAAACAGGGCAGGGAGUUGGAGACAGUACAGAUGUGGAAACGUAUAGAUCACCCAACGUCAAGACUGAUGUGUUACUCCACAAUUGGCGUCUUCAUAGUGCAGUGACUCUGACUGGGUAAACUCCCCGGCUUCUCUCUCUCUCUCUCUCUCUCUCUCUCUCUCUCUCUCUCUCUCUCUCUCUCUCUACACAACACUGGAUCUGAGAAAAAGAGAAAUAUCUUUGUUUUGAAUCUGAUGGUAACUGUUUAUAUUCCAUGUUGUCGAGAAAGUCUCCUUUCUGACUUCCUCUUGGGGUUUUUUAGACACUCCUAAAGCGGUGCAAUAAAACAACGCCUCACUUUCCUCUCAUCACGGUGCUACUAACACACAGCCUGACAAUAAUGUAUGUUGGUGAUAAAACAACGCCUCACUUUCCUCUCAUCACAGUGCUACUAACACACAGCCUGACAAUAAUGUAUGUUGGUGAUAAAACAACGCCUCACUUUCCUCUCAUCACAGUGCUACUAACACACAGCCUGACAAUAAUGCAUGUUGGUGAUAAAACAACGCCUCACUUUCCUCUCAUCACAUUGCUACUAACACACAGCCUGACAAUAAUGUAUGUUGGUGAUAAAACAACGCCUCACUUUCCUCUCAUCACAGUGCUACUAACACACAGCCUGACAAUAAUGUGUGUUGGAGAUAAAACACAAAGCCUCCCGGUACUCCCCUGUGACUUCCUGACUAACACAGACAGCCAGAAGAGUGACAUUUCACACAACGCUAUCAAUAAAAUCAUUCAUUCUGCUUCUGUUUAUCUUGUUUUGUUCUACUGCGCAAUUUAGCAUUUUUCUACUUCAAUGUUAAUUCCUAAGAAGAUUAAAGAAAGUUAAUUUAGUACAUUUACCUUCUAGAUAUACAUUAGGACCACAGGAGGUUGGUGGUUCCUUAACUGGGGAGGACAAGCUCUUGGUAAUGACUGGAGUGGAAUCAGUGGAAUGGUAUCAAAUCCAUCAAACACCUGGUUUCUAUGUGUUUGAUGUCAUUCCAUUCACUCCGUUCCGGACAUUAUUAUGAGCUGUCCUCCCCUCAGCAGCCUCCUGUGAUUAAGACCUGAAAGGUUGGACCAACUGACAAAGAGGACUUAGGGUCUACUUGGACCUGCACUAGGCCUAGAUCCUACAUCAAUACAUCAACACAAAGGAGUGGUCAUUACAUGAACUUUGAUCAGGGCCACUUCCUAAUGAGUGAUAAAUAAGACCUAUGCAUACCCAUACAGCCUUCUAAUCAAGCGCUCCCAGUUGACGGUGUUAUUGUUCGAUGGUAGGACCGCCGCUUGGCUUUACUGGCUUCUGUUGUUCCACCACAACUAAUUGCCUGAUCGACGGCUCAGAUAAACUCACGUUAUCGGGACGUCGGGGGUGGCGAGGCUAACUACAGCCCACUCCAUCUAAUGAGCUAGAGGCCAGGUUGUAAAGAGAGAAUGAAGAAAGGGGUUUUAUACUCCUAGACUUUAUUUAGUGUGGUUAUCAAUUCUAAUACUUAUAAAGGGACAAAGACCUCCUCACCAAUGUUUAGCUGACAUGUUUAUGUUAGGUUAUAUCGCAGUUUAAUUCACUUGGAUUUGUUGAUUUAGUCACUCUUCAACUACAGUAUGUAUUUGUGUAAUAAACUUCAUAUAAAACGU